rnacentral:misc_RNA from 1 species
UCCCACCCCGCCCAGCCUUCGCCU